rnacentral:lncRNA from 1 species
AAACGUGAAGACAACCUAGGGAAAAAAAAUGUAUACAAAUCCCCACAAAGCAAACAUGGACGCGUUCUAUUCGGGGGCUUGCGGGCAUCUUGCAAGGCGUUUAAAAGCCUGCACAGGACAAUGGGGGCAGUGGGUUCGGCAAUUUAGCACAGAAGAAAACAACUUCUCCUCCCUGGAAAGCAAAGCAACCAAGAAGCCUCGGACACUGUCGCUCUGCCUCACCCGACCUCUCCGCCUCCGCACUGACCGUGUCACGGCCUGGCCGAAGACGGCGCCCUCAGCUCUGCAGAACAGCGCCGCAGACCUUGUCAGAGGACAAGACGCCAAGAGCACACAGCUAUGCCCGCACCACGCCCGGCGGCCAUCUUCCUAGGAGUCAGGAACUGACAGGUCACGUGGUCGUGUGGUGGGCGGUGCUCCUUGUGGCCACGCCUCCUGGAGGGGGCAGUGUGGGAGGAGUUGCAGGUGCUGAAGUGGCUUGGACGCCCUUCCCUCUAUUUUAAAGGAAUGGAAACAUUGCUUCUUUGCCUGGUUUGGCUUCAGAUGGUUUGGGUUGGGUUAGGUUGGGUUGGGUUGGGUUGGUUUUGAUACAGAGUCAAAGUCGCCCAAGCAGGCUUCAAACUUGCUAUGUAGCCAAGAAUGACCUUUACGCUCCCGAUCCUCCUGCCUCCACCUCCCAGCUGACCCAGCUAAAUUAGUGU